GUCAUUGGGAUGCCACCCCCCUCAAGGUAAUGUCAUUGGGAUGCCCCCCCCCUCAAGGUAAUGUCAUUGGGAUGCCCCCCUCAAGGUAAUGUCAUUGGGAUGCCCCCUCCUCACAGUCAUAUUAUUGAGCUAAUGCACUGAGCGGGGUCCUUGGGCCCAAGGAACAGACCAUAUGGUGCCUGAGUAAAAUUAGCUCAUUCUUCUACCACUAAGCAGGGAAGUAGACAAGGGAGUUUUGGGUGCUGUAAAGACCCAUACCUGACUGGUGUUGAAGGUACUGUAAAGACCCAUACCAGACUGGUGUUGAAGGUACUGUAAAGACCCAAUACCAGACUGGUGUUGAAGGUACUGUAAAGACCAAUACCAGACUGGUGUUGAAGGGUAAGGGAAGGUUCUAUAAAGACCCACACCAGACUGGUGUUGAAGGUAUUGUAAAGACCCAUACCAGACUGGUGUUGAAGGGUAAGGGAAGGUUCUAUAAAGACCCACACCAGACUGGUGUUGAAGGUACUGUAAGGACCCAUACCAGACUGGUGUUGAAGGUACUAUAAAGACCCAUACCAGACUGGUGUUGAAGGUACUGUAAAGACCCAUACCAGACUGGUGUUGAAGGUACUAUAAAGACCCAUACCAGACUGGUGUUGAAGGGUAAAGGAAGGUUCUAUAAAGACCCAUACCAGGCUGGUGUUGAAGGGUACAGGAAGGUUCUAUAAAGACCCAUACCAGACUGGUGUUGAAGGGUACAGGAAGGUUCUGUAAGGACCCACCCCAGACUGGUGUUGAAGGGUACAGGAAGGUUCUGUAAGGACCCACCCCAGACUGGUGUUGAAGGGUACAGGAAGGUUCUGUAAGGACCCACCCCAGACUGGUGUUGAAGGGUACAGGAAGGUUAUGUAAGGACCCACCCCAGACUGGUGUUGAAGGGUACAGGAAGGUUCUGUAAGGUUCUGUAAGGACCCACCCCAGACUGGUGUUGAAGGGUACAGGAAGGUUCUGUAAGGUUCUGUAAGGACCCACCCCAGACUGGUGUUGAAGGGUACAGGAAGGUUCUGUUAAAAGCAUGUAAUGAUACAGAUUCUUCACGAUGUGCUCCCCUGUAAAUUCAUUUUCUCUUCUGUUUUUGUUCUCACUGUUCUUAAAUACUGUUUGAAACAAUGAAUCAUAAAUAAAAACAUUUUUUUUGUAAA